AAAUUCUCCAGCAACAAAUAUCUUUCAAUCAAUAUAAUUACAACAAAUUGAGAAGAGAAGCAAUUUUUCUGGAAAUUCUUCCCAAAUAUGAAAAGAGAAACUAAGGGAGAGGAGAGAGCAGGGCUUGGCUAUGGAAAUGCUCGCUUAAAGAGGACAAUUUCGAGAGCCAUUCCUCUUUGCAUGCUCAACAAAUUCUCCAUCCAAUUCAUCGACCAUUAUGUCACCCGCAUGAAGAUCAUUUCCCUUCUAAUUUCACUGCCAAUUUCAACAGUGAAGCCAUGUGGGUUUCUGCUUGAUAUGUACACUUCCCUGCUGUUUUGAAAUCAUGCUCUAAGUUUGUGGGGAUUGGAAGGGGAAGGCAGUUUCAUGGGGGGGUUGUUAAGAUUGGUCUUGUAAUUGAUAUCUAUGUG
rnacentral:misc_RNA from 1 species